GGCGUGUGGCUCCACGGUAGAGUGCUUGCCUAGGAUGUUGUGAGGUCCUGGGUUCAACCCCCAGCACCA
rnacentral:tRNA from 1 species